GUGAUACUCUCUCUGCCCGGAAAUACUUGUCGAAGAAAUGAAUGUAUCUAGACGUAUUUUAGUUCUAGAUACAUCCAACUUUAUUCAUUUUUAUGACAAGUAAAUUCCAGACGGAGGAGUAUGUC
rfam:Triticum aestivum genome assembly, contig: Triticum_aestivum_CS42_TGACv1_scaffold_274173_3DS